UGCUGUAAAGAAAUGUUAACGUUGCAAUAUAUCUUUUAAAAAAUAAAUUCAUUUAUGCAUGAAAUAUCACAGGAAUCAGAUGAAAUGAUAUUAAUGUUGACCUCCUUUAAUACUAAAAAUCAUAUUUUUCAUUUUUAAUUGUUACUGUGCCUGUGUUGCCAUUUUUUCUUAGCGGUGAAGGUCUUUUUGUUUGAGUUAUCAAGUAUUUGGGUCCAGCAGUUAAAAAAACAACACAUUUGUUAACACCUUCAAGGAGUCCCUGUUAUCAAGAAUAUCAAAUAGGAUUAUCAAUAUACCAAUGAGAUAAAAGUUGACUAAAAAUGAUAAUUUGUGAUUGUUAUUUAGAUUUAGAUGAUCUUUGAUUUAGCUUGAAAUGUGUUCUCAUUGUUUCCAGUUGUCUCUAGAGAUUGGAUAACCUAACAUUAUUGUCUUUCAUUUUGAUUUUUCAAUUGGUAUCUGUUACUAAAAGGUGAUACAUCAUGUGCCCAUGCAAACAUCAACUCUGAUGCAGCUAUCUCAGAAGAUCUUUUACAAAUUGUAAUAUUUUUAAAAUUGAAAAUAGAGGUUACUUAAUAAUUUUUUUUAUUGACCUUUUUUUUUUGUAAUUAGAUUGGACAUGAAGACUAUAUAUUGUUAUUGAUAUAGUUCACCUGCAACUGCAGACCACUAUCAUACUUGUUAAGUAUGUUCUUAAAAAAUGUAUCAGCUAACCAUUGAUAAAGGAAAACUUGAGAGAAUUGUUACAUUUAUUAGAGUACAUACAAAAACUAAUGUUGGAAUCUUUAUUUAUAACUUUUAAUAUUGUGAUUUAUUUUUCUCCAAAUUUUUAAUUAAACAUCAACAUUAAUUUGUUCAUCUGUGAACAUUUUUUUUUGCAUCAUUUUGUGGCCAUAUUUCUUUGACUUCAUUUAAACCUUUUUUUUUUUGUUAUUUCAUUUGUUUACAUUUCCAUGAUAUCACUUUUUUAAAAAUAAGAUUGCAUUUUUUUUUUUUGUUCACUGCAUACAAAAUUUCUAGUCUUUGAUUGUUUUCUUCAAUAUUUGUCAUUGACAAAGAAAAAAAAAUUGUUGAAGGAACAAUUGUUAAUUAUGCUUGGCAUAAUUCUUCCCAUUUUUUUUUUUAAGGAGUGGUAUCAAUUAAUAUUAAUUAAGAGGUAAAAAGUAUAUUGGACAGUGUAAAAGUACUAUAGAAAGACUGUAAGUAAACUCUGGUGAAAGGGUACAGAGGUAAGUGUAUGAAGUGAACCCCUUUUUUAAAGGUGCAUUAGUCAAACUAUGUAGUCUACACCUUUGUAAAAAAAAACAACAUUUGCAAGUCUAUGAAGCCAUUUGCGCAUAACUUAUGAUCAUCAAUUUUGGAAUUUAAAAAAAAAAAAAAAGCUUCAAAAAGAUAAAGUUUAGUCAUGUGGAAAGAUGGCAUUAUUCUGGAUAGGAAUAUAUCAUUUUACAAUAUAGCUAGCCCUGGCCUUCUAUGUACAACAUUGUCUUUAAGGCUUCAAAGUUAAAUUGUAUUAAAUAAGUUGAACCUUGAGUCAAUAAUACUGAUUGUCUUUCUUAUGGACCUGAUUUUUCUUUCAUUUUUUUCUUAAUAUAUUUUUAGUUCCCAGUUUCCAAUGUCAAAAUGAGCAUUUAAUUUCUGGGUUGAAAAAAAAAUUAUUAAGUCUCGUAAAUGGAAAUACUUUUAAAAAAAAAUAAUAAUUGUAAAUAAUACAUUAUGAACCCUAAUCCUUAGUUUUGAAAAAAAACAAAAAAAAACAAAACAUUUCUUUAAACACAUAUUGUUACUUUCAAAAAUGUAUAAUUAUGUAAAGUAAUAUUCCCAAUUCCCUUUAAAAUGAUGACAUAGAGUUAAACUUUGAAAAUAUCUUCGACUUUCAAUUAUAUUCUUCUAUUCAGAACUUUUUGUCAGCAGCUUAACUUAUUGACUUAUAAAAUAAAAAUAGGCUUGUACAAAUAUUGCCAGCUAUUCUCUAUUUUUUAAUGUCACUUUAUUGUUUUUCUUUUUUCCCUUCAAUUUGCUCACAUUAAUACUUUACUAGUGUAUUUUUUUAAAAACAGUUUUGAUUACUUUCCAUUUAAUGAUGUUUGAAUUUAAAAAUUUCUAAUAUUAGUGAAUAUGUUUCUGUUACCGUACUGAUAUUUAUAUAUUAAUGUUGAGACUGUAAGAAUUUGUGCUGUGACUUGCUGUGGCAUUAAUUCUACUGAUUCCAAAGAGUGCAGAUGACUUUUAAAAUAUCACUGGUAUGCUUAUAUCAAACAGCCAAGUCCAUAUUGGAAAUGGAAUUAAUUACAAAAUAACAACAUUCACCACUGGAGUAGUAAGGGUCAAAACAGUGCUGAGGUCAAAAGUAGCAAAGCCUGGCAUUUUGUGCUUGUGAUAAAGAAGAAAAAGAAGAAGAAUUAAGGGAAGGUCUUUAUACAUCACACAUGGUAUCAUAUCCUCUGUGCUGAAUAAAGUACAGAACAUUAUCUGGAGUAUCUUUCUUUAGAGUCAUUGCUGUCUGGCUGUAUUUUUUUUUUUAAUGCAUUUUUUUAAAAUAUAGCUUUUAUACUUUAGAAUUACACUGUGUUCCCUUAAAAAUGUGUUAGUCUUACCAAGUUUUCUAAAAAUAUACUUGGAAAGUUAGCUACUUUUGGAAAAUAGUGUAAUAUUGUCAAGAUACAAUUCAGUAAUGCUUUGUCUAGCUCAGUUUUUCUGUUGCUGUUUAAGUUAUUCAUGGUUGUAGACUAAAAUGUUUGACAGUGUAGACAAAUAUGGUGGCCAGUAAGAAACAGUUUUGCUUUUCUUCCAGCUCCACACAUCUUCUGUAGUUAUAGUGCUGAGGUUUAGGAUGACCUCACUGUAUAGUGCUGAGGUUUAGGAUGACCUCACUGUAUAGUGCUGAGGUUUAGGAUGACCUCACUGUAUAGUGCUGAGGUUUAGGAUGACCUCACUGUAUAGUGCUGAGGUUUAGGAUGACCUCACUGUAUAGUGCUGAGGUUUAGGAUGACCUCACUGUAUGGAAGUUUGAAUGUUUACCUACUAUUAGACAUUAUGAGACUUAUAUCUGUUGUCACAUAGUGUACAGUAGUUGUUAAAAUGAUUACUUAAAAUAUAUUUUGUGAUUUAAAAACUAUUUUUGAAUUAUUGAAAUAUUGAGUCAUGUCAAAUGUAUAAUAAAGUACAUGACCAUAGAACAACAAUACACACACACAUACAUAUGCACACACAUACAUGCCCUCUGGUGUACACACACACACACACACACACACACAUAUGCCCUCUGGUGAGUGCACACACACACACGCCACUAGUUACUUAAUAAACAAAUGAUUUAUAAAUAAAUCUGAAUGUCUUAUUGACUGCUGAAAAAAUGUCUUCUGAUUGGUCAGUUGCUGCUUCCUUGGAGGUCUGUUCAAACCAUUGAAGUUAUCCUGAAAGUUAUACGAAACUUAUCACAAAUGAUUCAGAAGCGAAUAUUCAUUUAUCAAAAUGUUUUUAAAUAGAAUUGUGUGCUUUUGUACAGACUUUUGUAUGAAUUUGCAUAGAUUUGAAUUUAUUCUUUAUUCACAGAGUGUUUACUUUCUCUUAUUUGUUGACUCUUAUAUUUUAUCAUAUAUUGUCAACUCAGUACUUGCAAUAGAAUUAUUCUUUGACCAAAGCUUAUUAUCACUUGAGCACCGCCUCCAAUUCCUCCCCAAAGUAACCAUAGCCAAGGACCAGCACUUUUUUUUUUUCUACCUCUUCUUAUUUCUAUUGGUACUAAACCUUUGAAGACCUUUCAUUUUCAAGUGCACCCUUAGACUGCUCAAUUUAGACACACUUAAAACACAUUUAUUUUGUGCUACCAUAGAAGUUUUUUUUCUCUAACAAAUAAUUUGUGUUUAAAGUAGCUCCAAGUAGCCUCUACAUGGUACACUUUGAAACGAGUAUUUGGUAUCUCAUUCGACUCAAUUCUUCCAUUCAUUAGUAAUCAAAUACUUUUUGAAAGGAAAAAAAAAUUAUAUUUGAACAAAUUAGUACUGCCUGAGAAUUUAUCAGAAAUGUUUUUUUCUAAUUUUUUAAAAAUUAAAUUAUAAAAAAUAAUAUUUGUACAUACAGAGCCAUUAGGCCUACAAAUGUGUCCAGAUUGUAUUUUCUUGAAAAUAUUUUGCAUUGACAAUAAAAUUGUUCAAAUCUCAA